UACGGAGGGGGCUAGCGUUGUUCGGAAUUACUGGGCGUAAAGCGUACGUAGGCGGCUUCGCAAGUCAGAGGUGAAAGCCUGGAGCUCAACUCCAGAAUUGCCUUUGAGACUGCGUCGCUUGAUCACGGGAGAGGUGAGUGGAAUUCCGAGUGUAGAGGUGAAAUUCGUAGAUAUUCGGAAGAACACCAGUGGCGAAGGCGGCUCACUGGACCGUAGAUGACGCUGAGGUACGAAAGCGUGGGGAG
rnacentral:rRNA from 1 species